UACGUAGGGGGCAAGCGUUACUCGGAUUUAUUGGGCGUAAAGAGAAUUAAGGCGGUCAUGUAAGUCAGUGGUGAAAUCCCUCGGCUCAACCGAGGAAUUGCCUUUGAUACUGCUUGACUUGAGGACAGGAGAGGAAGGCGGAAUUCCCGGUGUAGCGGUGGAAUGCGUAGAUAUCGGGAGGAACACCUGAGGCGAAGGCGGCUUUCUGGACUGGUCCUGACGCUGAUAUUCGAAAGCUAGGGGAGCAAACAGGAUUAGAUACCCUGGUAGUCCUAGCUGUAAACGAUGGAUACUAGAUCUUGCAUGAAUUUGCUUGGUCGAAGCUAACGCGUUAAGUAUCCCGCCUGGGGAGUACGGUCGCAAGGCUG
rnacentral:rRNA from 1 species